rnacentral:lncRNA from 1 species
AUGUGGGAACGGGGCCGCCGCCUGCUUGGGAUGCUUUGUAUCUGGAGAGGCGCUCCUGAUUGGCCUGAGGGCCCCCCAGCUCCGGGGACCCGUCGUCCUCCAUUCAGCCCACUCGAGGGCGGCACAACUGCCUCCAGCCGGACCACGGAGCUCGCCGGCCGCACCAGGCCUGGCCCAGGUCUGCGGCGUGGGGGAAACCUCUGCCGGGCCGCCUUGGCGGGGUCCCGGGCCCCUGCACCCUUGGUUGGCUCUGUGCUCUUCCCUGGAGCUGCCAGCUGCCUGGAAAACCCAGCCUCUUCAUGGAAAGCCCGGGGCAGUGGCGCUCUGGUGAUGGCAUCCGACAGUGACGUGAAGAUGCUGCUAAACUUCGUGAACCUGGCGUCCAGCGACAUCAAGGCGGCCCUGGACAAGUCUGCGCCCUGCCGCCGCUCAGUGGACCACCGCAAGUACCUGCAGAAGCAGCUCAAACGCUUCUCCCAGAAGUAUUCCCGGCUCCCGCGGGGACUCCCAGGCAGAGGGGCCGAGCCUCACCUGAAAAGGGGGCCCGAGGACCGGCCCGGGAGGCCGCUGCACCUCGAAUCUGGCCACGGUUCCAGCCCCAGCGGGGGUGGGGGCUACAAGGAGAAGGCACUGGGGAACCCGGACCGGGAGGAAAGCCUCUCUAAGGAGCGGACCCUCCAUGGGCCGGAUCCAGGAGCUGCCAGGCCUGGCCAGGUGCCCAUGAGGAAAAGACAGCUGCCUGCUUCCUUCUGGGAAGAGCCACGGCCCACCCACAGCUACCCCGUGGGGCUGGAGGGGGGACUGGGACCCCGGGAGGGACCUCCCUAUGAGGGUAAGAAACACUGUAAAGGCUUGGAGCCCCUGGGGCCCGAGACCACCCCGGUGCCCACCUCCCCCAGGGCACCGGCUGAAAAGGAGCCACUCAAGAUGCCCGGGGUUUCCCUGGUGGGCCGCGUCAGUGCCUGGAGCUGCUGCCCCUUCCAGUACCAUGGACAGCCCAUCUACCCAAGCCCUCCAGGAGCCCUGCCCCAGAGCCCGAUGCCCAGCCUGGGCCUCUGGCGGAAAAGUGCAGCUUCCCCUGGCGAGCUGGCCCACUUCUGCAAGGACGCGGAGGGCCCGGGGCAGAAAGUGUACAGACCUGUGGUUCUGAAACCCAUCCCCACCAAGCCGGCCGUGCCCCCACCCAUCUUCAACGUCUUCGGCUACCUCUAG